UGCACUGGAUGCAUUGCCUGAUUAACUGUAGAUGUCCCUUUUUAUUGCAGGGGAGUGAGACUAUGUGACCUAUGGGAAUGCCUUCCAACUCAGACGAUUCUGUGGAAGAACUGUGACAUUUCAAUUCCUGCCAUUAAUUUUUGAAGAAGAUAUGUGACUGAAACAUCAUUUAAGAUUCACAUGCCUGAUACAUCACACGUGCCUUUUUCCAUAAGGAAAAUUGUAUCUUUCAUCAAGCUCUCUUCUAAGGCCUUCUUUACCUGUUGGCUGCUGAAGUGCAAGGUGACUUGGAGAGCAGAAAAUAGCUGACAGUGCUUUGACUUAUACUUGUAUGGAAAUGAUAAGAUUGCCUGGUGAGG
rnacentral:lncRNA from 1 species